rnacentral:rRNA from 1 species
AUGUGGACCUGUCUUCGUCAGCGCUAUCAGCCCUCUGGUGAUGCCUUAUACCUUUCUGUGGUCCGUCAGGAGCAUGCUCUUCAGCAGGGUGACUCUACUGUUGAUGACUUCUAUGCACAGAGUUUUGCUAUCUGGUGCCAGCUUGAUUCUCUCCGCAGUGCUGGUUGUCGUACCUGCCCCUGUUGCCAGGCUGUCCAGGCCAAUUUGGAGUUUCAUCGCGUCUAUGAGUUCCUAUCUCGGCUCCGUAAGGAGUUUGAGCCCCGGCGUGCUCAGUUGUUUGCUCGUGGUCGUAUUUCUCUCAUGGAGGCGCUUUCUGAGAUGCUUACGUGGUGCUGGUUUGCUGGAGGUUCCCUCUGUGCUCGCUACUCGUGCUCCUGCGCCACCUGCUGCACCGACCCCUUCUCGCUCGAGUGCUCCGCCGCUCUUGCCCACUCCUUCUAG